rnacentral:rRNA from 1 species
UACGUAGGGGGCAAGCGUUGUCCGGAUUUAUUGGGCGUAAAGAGCGUGUAGGCGGUCAGGUAGGUCCGUUGUGAAAACUCGAGGCUCAACCUCGAGACGCCGAUGGAAACCAUCUGACUAGAGUCCGGAAGAGGAGAGUGGAAUUCCUGGUGUAGCGGUGAAAUGUGCAGAUAUCAGGAAGAACACCCGUGGCUAAGGCGGCUCUCUAGUACGGUACUGACGCUGAGACGCGAAAGCGUGGGGAGCGAACAGG